UACGUAGGGCGCAAGCGUUAUCCGGAAUUAUUGGGCGUAAAGAGCUCGUAGGCGGUUUGUCGCGUCUGCCGUGAAAGUCCGGGGCUCAACUCCGGAUCUGCGGUGGGUACGGGCAGACUAGAGUGAUGUAGGGGGAGACUGGAAUUCCUGGUGUAGCGGUGAAAUGCGCAGAUAUCAGGAGGAACACCGAUGGCGAAGGCAGGUCUCUGGGCAUUAACUGACGCUGAGGUGCGAAAGCGUGGGGAGCAAACAGG
rnacentral:rRNA from 1 species